GCUUUUCUAUGAAGGUUAAGUGCAUAAAGUUUCACUCUAAAAAUUCUGGUUUUGAACAUUUAGAAAAUAUUUUGAAAGAUGAAGAGAAUAUUUGAAUGUUUGAAAAUUUUGCAAAAGAGGUAAGAUUGAAAUCUGAAGAAAUGAUGUUUAUAUAGUCUCUAAAACACCUCUACAUAAGAGUGCAAUGCAUGAAAGGCUGUCAUGGUUCAAG
rnacentral:lncRNA from 1 species